CGCGUAGGCGGUUAAUUAAGUCGGAUGUGAAAGCCCCGGGCUCAACCUGGGAACUGCAUACGAUACUGUUUAACUAGAGUACGAUAGAGGGUGGUAGAAUUUCUUGUGUAGCGGUGAAAUGCGUAGAUAUAAGAAGGAAUACCAGUGGCGAAGGCGGCCACCUGGAUCGAUACUGACGCUGAGGUGCGAAAGCGUGGGGAGCAAACA
rnacentral:rRNA from 1 species